GCCACUUUAGCUCAGUUGGUAGAGCAACUCACUUGUAAUGAGUAGGUCUUCGGUUCGAGUCCGAAAAGUGGCU
rnacentral:tRNA from 1 species